rnacentral:rRNA from 1 species
AUACGUAGGGGGCGAGCGUUGUCCGGAAUGAUUGGGCGUAAAGGGCGCGUAGGCGGCCCGGUAAGUCUGGAGUGAAAGUCCUGUUUUUAAGAUGGGAAUUGCUUUGGAUACUGUCGGGCUUGAGUGCAGGAGAGGUAAGUGGAAUUCCCAGUGUAGCGGUGAAAUGCGUAGAGAUUGGGAGGAACACCAGUGGCGAAGGCGACUUACUGGACUGUAACUGACGCUGAGGCGCGAAAGUGUGGGGAGCAAACAGGAUUAGAUACCCUGGUAGUCCACACUGUAAACGAUGAAUGCUAGGUGUAGGGGGUAUCGACCCCUUCUGUGCCGCAGUCAACACAAUAAGCAUUCCGCCUGGGGAGUGCGGCCGCAAGGUUGAAACUCAAAUGAAUUGACGGG